ACUCAAAUGAAUUGACGGGGGCCCGCACAAGCGGUGGAGUAUGUGGUUUAAUUCGAGGCAACGCGAAGAACCUUACCUGGGCUUGACAUGUUUGAGACCGCCGGUGAAAGCCGGCUUUCCCUUCGGGGACUCUUGCACAGGUGCUGCAUGGCUGUCGUCAGCUCGUGCCGUGAGGUGUUGGGUUAAGUCCCGCAACGAGCGCAACCCUUGUCCAUAGUUGCCAUCAGGUAACGCUGGGGACUCUAUGGAGACUGCCGGUGAUAAGCUGGAGGAAGGUGGGGACGACGUCAAGUCAUCAUGGCCCUUAUGUCCAGGGCUACACACGUACUACAAUGGCCGGUACAGAAGGAUGCAAGAUCGCGAGAUGGAGCCAACCCUUAAAACCGGCCUCAGUUCAGAUUGAAGUCUGCAACUCGACUUCAUGAAGGUGGAAUCGCUAGUAAUCGCGAAUCAGCAGGUCGCGGUGAAUACGUUCCCGGGCCUUGUACACACCGCCCGU
rnacentral:rRNA from 1 species